GUGUCAGCAGCCGCGGUAAUACGGAGGGUGCAAGCGUUAUCCGGAUUCACUGGGUUUAAAGGGAGCGUAGGUGGGCUGAUAAGUCAGUGGUGAAAUCUCCGGGCUUAACCCGGAAAUUGCCGUUGAUACUAUUAGUCUUGAAUAUUGUGGAGGUUAGCGGAAUAUGUCAUGUAGCGGUGAAAUGCUUAGAUAUGACAUAGAACACCAAUUGCGAAGGCAGCUGGCUACACAUAUAUUGACACUGAGGCUCGAAAGCGUGGGGAUCAAACAGGAUUAGAUACCCUGGUAGUCCACGCCCUAAACUAUGGAUACUCGACAUACGCGAUACACUGUGUGUGUCUGAGCGAAAGCAUUAAGUAUCCCACCUGGGAAGUACGAUCGCAAGAUUGAAACUCAAAUAAAUUGACGG
rnacentral:rRNA from 1 species